UUCAGGGCUUUGUGGAAGGCCAGUCAGAGGUGGGAUUUGCCCGUUCUCCGAACUACUCCAAAUUUCUGCUACUGGUUCUCCAGAACUGGUCAGAACCUGCUGAAUACCCACCUCUGGAACAGCCCUUAUGGGAGAUAUUUACCCGAGUGAGUUUCGAACAGCUCGACACAAUGGACAGAUAUGGGAAAUUCCCUUCUAUACCCUACAAUUGAUGUAUCUGCAUUUGUGGAGUGGCAGAAGUAGAAACCCUGGCUCACAUCCUAUUUGAUUGUUGCCUGUAUCAGAGGGUGAGAGGCAGGCACCUUGGUCUACAUACCAGACGAAUGACCCUUUUGGAUCCCCGUAUCAAACCAACUUACCUUAUGUGCGGCCAGAAUCUGAAGAUGACAUUUAACACAGCACAGGACUUAAAUCAAAAUGGUUCGGUUGAGAUCGGCAUAUUUGGGACUGAUUGGGGUAGAUUGCAGGGGUGACACCGAAAUAUAAUUUUAUCACAUUUUAUCUAUAUCUUAAAUUAAUGUAUUCUGUUCCAACUUCAUUCUAGACUGUAUUUUAUUUCAGUUUCAUUUUAAACUGUA